CACAGUUUAAGGUUUUGCUAUUUCAGGCUGAAGCUCAAAACUCAAAUGCAGAUGUUCAACGACCACAAAGACA